rnacentral:rRNA from 1 species
AAAGUGGAGCAAUCCAUGAGUAAAGUGGCGACCGGGUGAGUAACACGUGACUAACCUACCUUUAAGUGGGGGAUAACUCCGGGAAACCGGAGCUAAUACCGCAUAACAUCGAUGCUUCGUAAGGAGCGACGAUCAAAGCAGCAAUGCGCUGGAAGAGGGGGUCGCGGCUGAUUAGCUAGUUGGCGGGGUAACGGCCCACCAAGGCGAAGAUCGGUAUCCGGCCUGAGAGGGCGCACGGACACACUGGAACUGAAACACGGUCCAGACUCCUACGGGAGGCAGCAGUGGGGAAUUUUGCGCAAUGGGGGAAACCCUGACGCAGCAACGCCGCGUGGAGGAUGAAGCCCUUUUGGGGCGUAAACUCCUUUUCGACCAAGACGAUAAUGACGGUACUGGUGGAAGAAGCACCGGCUAACUCUGUGCCAGCAGCCGCGGUAAUAACAGAGGGUGCGAGCGUUGUUCGGAAUUAUUGGGCGUAAAAGGGCGCGUAGGGCGGUGCGGUAAGUCACCUGUGAAAUCCUCUGGGCUUAACUCAGAGCCUGCAGGCGAAAACUGCCGUGCUCGAGUAUGGGAGGAGGUGGCGUGGAAUUCCCGGGUGUAGCGGUGGAAAUGCGUAGAUAUCCGGGAGGAACACCUGGUGGCGAAAGCGGCGCACUGGACCAUAACUGACGCUGAGGCGCGAAAGCUAGGGGAGCAAACAGGAUUAGAUACCCUGG